GAUGAAGAACGUAGCGAACUGCGAUAAGUAAUGUGAAUUGCAGAAUUCAGUGAAUCAUCGAGUCUUUGAACGCACAUUGCGCCCCCUGGCAUUCCGGGGGGCAUGCCUGUCCGAGCGUCAUUGCUGCCCUUCAAGCCCGGCUUGUGUGUUGGGUCGUCGUCCCCCCCGGGGGACGGGCCCGAAAGGCAGCGGCGGCACCGCGUCCGGUCCUCGAGCGUAUGGGGCUUUGUCACCCGCUCGAUUAGGGCCGGCCGGGCGCAAGCCGGCGUCUCCAACCUUCUAUUUUACCAGGUUGACCUCGGAUCAGGUAGGGAUACCCGCUGAACUUAAGCAUAUCAAUAAGCGGAGGA
rnacentral:misc_RNA from 1 species